rnacentral:lncRNA from 1 species
GGAGCUUUGCUGAAACUGCACAAAAAAUCGAGCUGGGGGGUUCCCUGGUCCCCGAUGUUGGGGCGGAGAGCGCGGCGCCGAGGGAGGGGGCGGCGCAGACCGGCCUAGGGGACACCUGGUCGAGCGCAGCCGCCGCUCCGCUCGAGCCCUGCGCUCCAGUGCCCCCACUGGCUGGAGAGCUCGCCCAGACCGGGGGUCUUCCUCCGUCGCUGACAGAUUUUAACCAUUAGAAGAGUACCAGUUCUGGAAAACAACCAAAGUUUCUUUGAUUGAAUGCCCAUGUAAUGCAUUGGAAUAUGAUAGGCGAUUAAGGUUUAACAAUGUUAAAAUGAAGAUAUUACUAAAAUGGCCCUCUAAAUAGCCCAACAAUUAUUAUUUUCUUUGUCCUAUGGAUUUGGCUUUGAAAGAUGUGCUGCUCUUAAUAAGUGUGUAGUCAUUAAACCCAGAACCUCAGAGGGCUCUACUACUAAACCAUAUGCCAGUACCAAAACCGAAAAAUAUUGACGCUACUUUUGUGCUGAAUAUUCCUCAGCCUUAACUUACUAAUGCUUAUGCCCAAUGGAUCUUCCUUCAUGAAGCACCCUCCCCCCCCCCCCCCCCCAUUUAUCUUUGGUGAUUUUAAUAAAUAAUACCUUUGGAAAA